CUGGUUGAUCCUGCCAGACCCGACUGCUAUCGGAUUGGGACUAAGCCAUGCGAGUCAACUCCGCAAGGGGUGGCGCACGGCUCAGUAACACGUAGUCAACCUACCCUGGGGACGGGGAUAACCUCGGGAAACUGAGGCUAAACCCCGAUGGGCCAUGGCUCCUGGAAUGGGCUAUGGCAGAAAUCUACAUGGCCCCAGGAUGGGACUGCGGCCGAUCAGGUUGUUGGUGGGGUAAUGGCCCACCAAGCCUAUAACCGGUGCGGGCUCUGAGAGGAGGAGCCCGGAGAUGGGCACUGAGACAAGGGCCCAGGUCCUAUGGGGCGCAGCAGGCGCGAAACCUCCGCAAUGGGCGAAAGCCCGACGGGGUCAGUCCGAGUGGUUCCCGCUGAGGGAACCUUUUGCCAGCUGUAAACAGGCUGGCGAAUAAGGGGUGGGCAAGUUUGGUGUCAGCCGCCGCGGUAAUACCAGCACCCCGAGUGGUCGGGACGAUUAUUGGGCCUAAAGCAUCCGUAGCCGGCCCAGUAAGUCCUCCGUUAAAUCCAACGGCUCAACCGUUGGGCUGCGGGGGAUACUGCUGGGCUAGGGGACGGGAGAGGCGAGGGGUAUUCCCGGGGUAGGGGUAAAAUCCACUGAUCCCGGGAGGACCACCAGUGGCGAAGGCGCCUCGCUAGAACGUGCCCGACGGUGAGGGAUGAAAGCUGGGGGAGCGAACCGGAUUAGAUACCCGGGUAGUCCCAGCCGUAAACGAUGUAGGCUCGGUGUUGGGCUGCCUCAGUGGCAGCCCAGUGCCGCAGGGAAGCCGUUAAGCCUACCGCCUGGGGAGUACGGCCGCAAGGCUGAAACUUAAAGGAAUUGGCGGGGGAGCACCAC
rnacentral:rRNA from 1 species